rnacentral:ncRNA from 1 species
GGGCAAAACCGUUGUGAGGCGGUGACGCAAAGCCAUGGGGCUUGGAAUUAUUCAAAGUCAGCCAGGUUGC